AGGCAAGAGAUUGGAAGGCUCCUCCCUUCUUCGCUGAUAAAAGCUGGCAGAGGCUGAGACAGGACUGAGCUUUGGCUGAGCCUGUGCCAGGGAGAGGAAGAAAAAAAAUCCUAAAAGGAAAAAAAAACCCAGCCAGUGGAAGAAAACCGUCUGGAGGAACCCCAAAACAGCACCAGUGACAGCAAGAAGAGCACCAAGUCAGGAAGAGAGCACAAUUACUGAGGGCUCAAUGGCUUUCUUCCUCAAACCACGGCCAUGCACGUGGGACCUUGCCCUGGACUACCACACCGCCAAACAGUUUGAAGGUCAAAGGGGAAAACAAACAUCAGUUCCAGAUGCAAUGUUGCCCUUCUCAAACACUGUCCCAUUGCUACCUCUGGAUGUACCUCAAGUUCAAGAAGAAAGGCAAGUUUUGCAGCUGAGGCAGCACCAACCAACAACAUAAUAAUGAAAAACAUGGACUCACAGCUGAGACAGAGACUUCUUGAAUUGUUGGGACUCAUGCCUGCAUCUCCAGGCCCCUUCUUCUCUGAAAACAAUACUGUACUCCUGAAAUGGCGCUUCCUGUUGAUUUUCUAAGGGUUUCUAAAUGACAUCAGCUCCCACACCAAGGGGAUGGGUUUGGUCUUCUGUAGGAAGACUGCUCUGGAAUGUCCUCCUACCAGAGAGAACAGCAGCUUGGGUGGGCUUUGUCUUCCCCAGGAACAUGGAAGUAGAUCUGUCACAAAUGCAACCAUACAAAAUAUCUCAGAGAUGUUAUCUGUGAAACCAAAACUUCAGCAUUCACCUGCAAAAGCGAUGGCUGUGAUGAACAGAGCCGUGAAAAGCAUUGCCAGCACCACCUGGCAGGUGACACGUGCCUCUGGCUUCAUCUCCACGCUGUGACCUGCAGGAGAACAGACCUUCAGUGCCUCUGAGAGGGCUCCCUGGGCAGCAAAGUGCUACAGGUCAUGCCAAGAUGAUGAAAGGUUGGACUCAUACCAAUGCCAGUAGACUUAGUGUCAUUUUGAGUGAGAAAUACCAAAAAUUCUUCUUCACCUAGAACACAAUUAUUUAUCUUUUUAUUUAUGGGAGCUCUUUGGGGUACAAUUUCCUCCCUAGCUCCAGAUGCAAAUUCCAGAAAUGUACCAUGAUUUAAACUUUGCUUUAAUUUUUGGGGUUUACCUCAUUAUUAAAGCUCAGUGGAGUUUUUUUUCUCCACCUAAACUAAGACUAAACUUUGGGCCAUGGUACCUCCAUUUCUGUAUCUUGUGAUCCAGAAUAUGCUCUUUCCCUUCACCAUGGCCAAAGAAAAUUCUGUUUCCCAGGGGUUUUAUCCAAAAAUUCUAGUGUUUUCAUCCAGUAGUACUUCCCCCAUUUUUUGUUUAAUAUUUUUCAUUUUUGUCCCCAUCAUAUGAACCAAAUGUCAUGCAAAAAACCCUCCUCUCCCCUCUUCUUCCUGAAAAAACAUCAGAAAGUAAGUCAGAAGCCAAACAUGCUAUAUUUUUUUAACAUAUAUUUUAAAAAGCUCUAUGAAAAAAAUUUAAAAAAACAAAUGAAAAAUCAACAAAUUUAAUUUUUUUAAAAAAAUCAAAUUUGAAAAAGUCACAAAUGUGCUAAAUAAAGUAAAUCCAUUCCUCAAAAAUCUUGGUCACUGGUUGUGUAGAACAAGAUGAUGGAAAAUUCUCCAAAAGUCCCUUUUUUACUUUACUGUGUGCCAAAGUGUUGAUAGAGAUAGGAGCAAAAUCAGGAAAGCUGAAACAGGGCAAAAGGGAAAGCUGAUUUCUCCAUGGAAAUAAGACAAUAAUACAUACUUUCUGAUGUGUCCAAACUAGAUUUAAACACAAAAUUUCUUUUCCAGAUCUUCUACAGUUCAACUCUUCAAAAAUUUCUUUAUUCUAAUCCAGAAUAAUACAGAAAAUUGGAAUAUUUGUGGAGAAAAAAUAUGCCUAAAAUAAUCAGAUACUCAGGAGCCUCAGGAAGUGUUAAUACUAAAUUAGAAUCAUGUCUGAAUUCGGUCUGUUUAGAGCAAAAAUUCUAUCUGCUGAGUGACAAAAAUUUUCCCUCAGGGGAAGUACCAGAAAAAGUUUUUUCCCCAACAACCUUACUUCAGCUGAGUUUUUCUCUCAAAUUACAGAAGUAUCAAAAUAAAACCCAAAUCCAGUGAUUCUACAGUUCAUUGCCCUACAGUUACCUGCCCGCUUGCUCCUUGCCAUGCCCGAAAGUCCUGAAAAAACUCUCGUUUCCUCCAUUUCCAGGGUUCCACCUCCACAAGUGGAACAAACACCUGCCAAGCAAAGUUCCAUCUAUCAGAGGUGUCAUGAAGGCUUUUGGUCCUCAAUUAAAAUUUUCUCCCCAUUUAAAAUUUUCUCCCGGCACCACAUUUCAACUUUUCUCCCCAGCUGAAGUUUUCUCACACAAUUAAAAUCUUGUCCCUACAAUUAAAAUUUCCUCUCCACCCAAUUAGUUUUAUCCCCCUAAUUAUAUUUUUCUCCCCUCAGUUAAAAUUUUCUCCCUGUAAGUCAAGUCUUCUCCCCACAAUAAAACUUCUACCCCAAAUUAGUUUUCUCCACCAAUUAAAAUCUUCCCCUAUUAAAGUCUCCUCAGGUAACAUUUUCUCCCUGCAAUUAAAAUUUUCUGCUAUAAUUAAAUUUCCUCCAUGGCAUACUUUUCUCCCCAUGAAAGGUUUUCCCCCAAUUAACAUCUUCUCCCCCUCAAUUAAUAUUUUCUUUUCAAUUAAUAUUUUCUCCCCAAAAUUAAGGUUUUCUCCUCCCACUUAAAAUAAUCUCCCCUUAUUAAAAUCUCCUCAGUUUUCUCCUGCACUUAAAAACUUCUCCCUGAAAUUGAAAUUCCCUCCAAACAAAAUUUAAGACCACCUCCCCGCAGCCCCUGGGCCCAUCCCAAACCCUGUCACCUGUGUCUGCUCUGCAGGAACAAGCCCAAUGCUCCAGGCACAACCUGCUCCUGUGAAGAGAAACAAAGUAUUUAAAAAAAAAAAAAAGAAAAGUUGUUUUGGUUUAUUUUAUUGUUUUCUGUGGGGUUUUCCUGUGCCUCCUCAAGGGCAAUGAAGGGUGAUGCCCAGGGCCACCUGCCCACCCACUGAAACAGGGGUUCCCCUCCAGCUCCACCUGGCAUCACUUCUUCCUCUUUUCCAGCAUUUCCGGAUUUUUUUUCUCAGCUAGGGAGAUAGAUUGUCCAAAAUGCUUUUUUUUUUAGUGUGCAGUUGGAGGAAACACUGCUGGACAUGACUCUGUUCCAGGAUGCCAGGGCACCCCAGAACAGCCCUCAGGGAUUCUACAAGGAUGAAGUACAGUUUCCUUCAGCCCAUUUUAAGGUUUUUUUUUAACUAUAAAAAUAUAAAAAAAUAAGUGUUCUUGCAAUUAAGCUACCCAGCUGCAGGGUUUUACCCUAAAACCUAAUUUGUUUGUAUUUUUAAGGGGGUUUUUGUAAUCAUUGGUCACACACCACUGGAGCAGCUGCCUGUGCACAGGGCAGGAAGGGUGGCUGAUAGCUCACCACAAAAACUUUCAAUGACAAAGAAAAGGCUGCGAGUGGAAGAGAAACUAAAAAUAAACAUGAGAUACUAAAAAUAUAAAAAUAAAAAUUACAUAAACACAAAUUUAAAAUAAAAGUAUUUUUUUAUCUAACUAAAAAUUUUUAAAAAAUUAAAAAAUAAAAUAACGGAGUGUUUUUCCUAUUGGACCCUUUGGACCUUUGGGUUUAUCCUCUUAUUUAGCCUCUUUCUGGUUGCUGAUAGGUAUUGGGGCAAAUUUGUGCUUUUUUCCUUGCCUUUUUUUGGGUGUUCAAGGGAAAAAACAUAUUUUUUUUUACCGCUAUAAAAAGGUGUUGCUUUGGGAUGUUGUGGCACUGACUAAAACCUGGGAUUAACACAAAAAAAAAAAAAAAAAAA